rnacentral:tRNA from 1 species
AGUGUAGCUCAGAUGGAAGAGCAGCGGUCUCCAAAACCGCAGGUCGGGGGUUCGAAUCCUCCCACU